rnacentral:precursor_RNA from 12 species
GACGGCACUCAUUGUUAGGCUUCACGUCUGAGUUGGACAGGGGAUCAUGACAGUUUAAAAACACAUGCUGCCAGAUCUAUCUUUCCAGCUCACGCGUGGAACCUCCAACUGCUCGACGGCGU